AUGUUUUUCUUUUUUGCAGGAGGGUUAGAACAACAAGUCCGACAGGUGGUGAAAUCCGGUGUCGGAAAGUGCAUCAAUUGCGGUUCACGCGCUGAUCUUGUUGAAUACGACAAAGUUCUAAAGCUCUUUUUCGUUCCCGUUUGGCGGUGGCCCGGGAAGGACAAUCUCUUGUAUUGCCAAGACUGCAAGUUUUUGUUUCCUCAAUCCUAUUCUCUUCCUCCGCCGUCGAACGGUGGUUCUAUUUUGCCGGACUCCUUGAAAUGUCGAUACUGUGAUCGGAAAGUGGGGGCUGAUUUUGCGUUUUGUCCUUACUGUGGUACCCAACUGUAA